CGUGGGGCUGGAAAGCACCUUCCCAUCCUAGCAGAGUCUAUAUUAGAGAGCGGCAAUAGCUCUAUAUAAACAGGGCAGCCGCGGGGAGGAGGAACACUAGGAGCGGGGAGGCAGGGAAGCCAUGAUGGAUCCCGGCGCCACAAACAAGGGGCCGAGCCCGCCCGGGACGCCGGCAUCGCCUCGGGGCGAGGGUCGCCGGGCAGCGGAGCCGCUUCGUGUGACUGCUUGUGCCAAACCUCCAUGCCAGAACUCUGCUACCGUUCUGCCUGCAUUGUGAACUGACAUGGACUUUUCCCAUUCCAUUCCCAUUUAAUAGAUGGAUCGAACAGUGGCUUUGGAUGCAGAAGUGGUGGGCAUGUCAUAUUCCACAUCUACAUAGUGGACAAAACUGGAAGGCACUUCCCGGUCAGAGCCAAGCUCUAGGUGACAGAAGAAGGAGUGAGGAUGCCCAGAAGCUGGAAAAAGAGAACAAACAGACAUGAAAGUUGAGUUCGAUAAGUCAGAAAAGACAUCUAGGAGGAAGCAACAUCACAAAACUGCAAGAGAAGCAGAAUCUGCCUGGGUGAAUUACUUCGUAGCAAGUGACAGUAUCUUACCUGAUUCAAUACCGUUACAGUUUCCAGAAGAAUUAAGCAAAACAAACUGCAAAAAGGACUGCCGAUCACUCUAGUUUGCUUUUAAUGGGUGAAAAUACCAGACAUAAAACAAGAACCAUAGGGUAAAGGUAUUCCCCCUCUUCUGCUCCCCCCUGGGUAUAUAAUGUGCUAAGUACAUUGUGGCACAUCCUUCUGAAAUGUCAUGUAUUGUCAGCAAGUAAAGGUGGGAUUUGGCAGACGUUUUACAUUUAUUUAAAAUCAUUAUCCCCAUUUUUAGCAAAUAAAAAUAUACUGGAAAAGGUUGAACAUCUUUUCUGGUUUCAAAAAGCAAA